AUUGAACGCUGGCGGCAGGCCAAACACAUGCAAGUCGAACGGCAGCGGGGGAUAGCUUGCUAUCCUGCCGGCGAGUGGCGGACGGGUGAGUAAUGCAUGGGGAGCUGCCCAGUCGAGGGGGAUAACAACUGGAAACGGUUGCUAAUACCGCAUACGCCCUGAGGGGGAAAGGUGGGGAACUUCGGUCCUACCGCGAUUGGAUGCGCCCAUGUGGGAUUAGCUAGUUGGUGGGGUAACGGCUCACCAAGGCGACGAUCUCUAGCUGGUCUGAGAGGAUGACCAGCCACACUGGAACUGAGACACGGUCCAGAGUCCUACGGGAGGCAGCAGUGGGGAAUAUUGCACAAUGGGGGAAACCCUGAUGCAGCCAUGCCGCGUGUGUGAAGAAGGCCUUCGGGUUGUAAAGCACUUUCAGUCAGGAGGAAGGGGUGAUGGCUAAUAUCCAUCAUCAUUGACGUUACUGACAGAAGAAGCACCGGCUAACUCCGUGCCAGCCGCCGCCGUAA
rnacentral:rRNA from 1 species